UAGCGGCAGGCUUAACACAUGCAAGUCGAGGGGUAUAGUUCUUCGGGACUAGAGACCGGCGCACGGGUGCGUAACGCGUAUGCAAUCUACCUUUCACAGAGGGAUAGCCCAGAGAAAUUUGGAUUAAUACCUCAUAGUAUAAUUGAAUGGCAUCAUUUAAUUAUUAAAGUCACAACGGUGAAAGAUGAGCAUGCGUCCCAUUAGCUAGUUGGUAAGGUAACGGCUUACCAAGGCUACGAUGGGUAGGGGUCCUGAGAGGGAGAUCCCCCACACUGGUACUGAGACACGGACCAGACUCCUACGGGAGGCAGCAGUGAGGAAUAUUGGACAAUGGGCGCAAGCCUGAUCCAGCCAUGCCGCGUGCAGGAUGACGGUCCUAUGGAUUGUAAACUGCUUUUGCACAGGAAGAAACGCUCGGACGUGUCCGAGCUUGACGGUACUGUGAGAAUAAGGAUCGGCUAACUCCGUGCCAGCAGCCGCGGUAAUACGGAGGAUCCAAGCGUUAUCCGGAAUCAUUGGGUUUAAAGGGUCCGUAGGCGGUUUAGUAAGUCAGUGGUGAAAGCCCAUCGCUCAACGGUGGAACGGCCAUUGAUACUGCUAGACUUGAAUUAUUAGGAAGUAACUAGAAUAUGUAGUGUAGCGGUGAAAUGCUUAGAGAUUACAUGGAAUACCAAUUGCGAAGGCAGGUUACUACUAAUGGAUUGACGCUGAUGGACGAAAGCGUGGGUAGCGAACA
rnacentral:rRNA from 1 species